GACGAACGCUGGCGGCGUGCUUAACACAUGCAAGUCGAACGGAAAUGCUUUGCUUUUGUGGGGUGCUAGAGUGGUGAAAGGGUGAGUAACACGUGAGUAACCUGACAUGGACGUUGGGAUAAUUUCAGAAAACGGGGGCUAAGGGCGACUAGGAGUACUAGCUGAAGGAUGGGGGUUGGAAAGUUUGGGAGGGUGGGGAUGGACUCGCGGCUUAUAUGCUUGUUGGUGGGGUAGUGGCUUACCAAGGCUUUGACGGGUAGCCGGCCUGAGAGGGUGACCGGCCACAUUGGGACGGAGAUACGGCCCAGACUCCUACGGGAGGCAGCAGUGGAGAAUAUUGCAUAAUGGACGGAAGCCUGAUGCAGCAACGCCGCGUGCGGGAUGACAGCCUUCGGUUUGUAAACCGCUUUCGCCUGUUACGAAGCGUUAGUGACGGUAAUGAGUAAAGAAGCACCGGCUAACUACGUG
rnacentral:rRNA from 1 species